rnacentral:rRNA from 1 species
UUGGCGGACGGGUGAGUAACGCGUGGAUAACCUGCCGUAUACAGGGGGAUAACACUUAGAAAUAGGUGCUAAUACCGCAUAAGCGCACGGUUCCGCAUGGAACAGUGUGAAAAACUCCGGUGGUAUACGAUGGAUCCGCGUCUGAUUAGCCAGUUGGCGGGGUAACGGCCCACCAAAGCGACGAUCAGUAGCCGGCCUGAGAGGGUGAACGGCCACAUUGGGACUGAGACACGGCCCAAACUCCUACGGAAGGCAGCAG